GGUCCACGCACUGUUAACAAUCUCUACACUUUUCCCAGAGCAGCAGAAAACGCAUGAAUCCCAGACUCCUAGACGUGCUCCUGGGAACAGACAGACAUAGCUAUUGAGCCUGUUGGAGGUCGUUCUGGGCUCCUCUGGAUGAUGUUUCCCUUCCUCCUGUCUGUGCUGAGCAUCUGGAUUGACUUCCUGCUUUAAAGUGGAGUCUGCCCUGGGCUCAGCGAUCUAGAGAGAAUGCUCCAGAGAUGCCUCGCUCCUUCCACUGUGUAAGGACAUGGCGACAUGUUGGCCGUCUGCAGCACAGAAGACGGUCUCACCAGAACCCCACCGUGCCAGCACUUGAUCGCAGCCUUCCAGCCUCCAGAAUGCCCUACCUUAGGUGGUCUCGGAAAGGAGGGCGCGAUCUCGCUUCCAGACCCAGAGCUCUGGAUCAAAAGCCUGGAUCUGGAAGGACAAACAGCCCCCUGAGAAGAUGAUGACUCUCCAGGACACCUAGACUCCAGUCUUUUCAAAUUCUUGGAGAAGAUGCUGUUGCCCACCCCUGUUGCCAAGCACCACGGAAUUUGGUCCUUCCAAUCAGGAAGGUCAGAAGCCUCUGAUGUCAUUAGUCAUUCCAACCUGGCCAGCAGCUUGAAGGAUCCAAACCCAUGGACUGCCAUGUGUGCACUGCUCCUGGGAAUCAGGGGUCAACCAUACCUCCUGCCACUGACCCAUCAGCCUCUGUCCAGCCUCCAACACUCUCCUCUAUGGCAGCGUCAUUCUUUACCCCUCCCCAGGGGAUGCUGUGUUCUCUCCAUUCUGAACUUGAAAUAGGCUGGACUCUCUCCUUUCCCAUUCAUAUUUCAGCAGCUUAGUCUGACGAGAGAGGGAGGUCACAAGGGG